UGGUGAUGUGAGAUGAUAAAGUGAUGACACGAACUGAGGUGAAUGACGGAAGCAUUGUGACAUAGCGUUGCUCUACUACUGAACUUCUGAACAUACAUCAGAAGGAGGGCCAUCUGCUGACAGAAGUGAAACAGGAAGUCAUGAAAGAAAGUCACACAUUUGUUCUGUUGUUAGCUGUGGUGUGUUACCAGCGCAGGUUACGGCAAAUGCUGUACGGACACCUGGAUGAGUCUGAACUUCAUGGGGGCACCCAGCCAGAGAAGAAUGUGGGAAAUUGUGGCGUUGGGUCCCACGGGAAAUGACUGAGACCGCACCUUGAGUCUAUCCCACCCGAUCUACCCUCAUAUUCUUUCCUGAGAAGGGCAAUAGUGGUCACCAAAUCAGGCUGAGGCUCCUAUCAUUGGAAUUUCUCCUAUCAGGAACGAAUACUAAGACUUUACAUUUUUUUUCACCUAGAUUUCAAGUGAGCAGGAAACAAAUCACCAACCUACAUCAAAGAGGUUCAAGCUUGUUGCAGAGAUGCCAAGCUCGAUUUUUCAAUGUCAGUCUCCAGAGAUAUUAAUUCUCAGUUCCUAUUUGUAGCUUUAUCGCUAUGUAUGAUCAUACUGAAAAUUCAAAGAGGAUUGUGUAUAAUUCUAUUCCCUAUUCUUAUUUAUUUUAUUACGAGUUUAAAAAUGAAUUUAAAUGUUUAAAACACAUCAACAGUUAAGACACUGUUCCCUAAACUACUCAAGCUCAUGAAAACAUCUUAAAAAUAAUCAAGUAGCACAGCUUUGAAGACUUGAAUACAAUGCUAAUAAUAAUAAUAAAAAAAGUAGAGCUUGUACAUAGCUUGGUUAAGAACAGGCAAUGCACAAGAAUGAUGUAAGAUCAUCUGAAUUAAUAUUUGCAACACUAACAAAUCAGAUUAUUCUUCUGAUAUACAAAGCCUUGCAAGAAGGGUGUCCUACAUCAUCAGCCCCUUGAGGAAUUGUGGAUAAACAGAAAAUAAUUAUAUCCCUAGAGAUGAAAUAAAACUGGUUGUCCCCCUGAGAGAGCCCUUGUUUUGAUGUUAAAUGAUGGGUGUUACUGGUAUUUCAAAGGAAAACCUCCCCAGAAGCAGGAUGCAAUAAAAACUGACAUACAGAUUAAAAAGACGAUUAAAUAUUAAUGAGGCCAAACCCACUUACAAAUCAAAUGCGGAAGAAAGGAGACAUCUUUCUUUCAGAGAAAGUUGGAUUCACUCAUCACAUCCUAUUGCUUUAAAACAACAAAUCUGUUUGUGUUAUUGCAUACCAAGCAUCACGUUUUGGAGAACACAGACGUGACCUUCGCAAAGCAAGCUGGUUACUAAAUAAUGCAUAACUAUGAUAUUUGUGUUGUUCCAAAAAAAAAAAAGUGGAGAAUAUCUUGAAUGAGAAUUUUCAUGUAAAAUGACAAAUGUUUUUCUCUGGUAAGUUUUGGCUAGGUUCACUUUGGGUCCCAGGAAUUGCUCAAGGUGUGGUUCUUGACUAUCUAAUCCUGGAAAAUAGGAGGCUACAUGUUUAUAGCUAUGUGCAAAAUUUUCUAAGAUAACUUUGCUAUUAAUUUUGUUAUUAAAAGUCUUUUAUCGUAAAUAAAAUGUCUCCAACCUACUUAUCAUAAAUCCCAAAGCUAAUUCACAGACUAUCUACACUUCUUUAGGAAGGGAAAGGCAGAGGCAGAGGUAAUGAUCUUAGUGACUUAAGUAUGUGCACAAUUUUUGGGGUGCCUGGGUGGCUCAGUCAGUUCAGAGUCCAACUUCGGCUCAGGUCAUGAUCUCACAGUA